rnacentral:rRNA from 1 species
AGAGUUUGAUCCUGGCUCAGGAUGAACGCUAGCGGCAGGCCUAACACAUGCAAGUCGAGGGGUAAGCUACUUCGGUAGCCUAGACCGGCGCACGGGUGCGUAACGCGUGUACAAUCUACCUUUUACAGAGGGAUAACCUGAAGAAAUUUGGACUAAUACCUCAUAGUAUUAUUUUGUGGCAUCACAGGAUAAUUAAAGCUAAGGCGGUAAAAGAUGAGUACGCGUUCUAUUAGCUAGUUGGUAAGGUAACGGCUUACCAAGGCUACGAUAGAUAGGGGUUCUGAGAGGGAUGUCCCCCACACUGGUACUGAGACACGGACCAGACUCCUACGGGAGGCAGCAGUGAGGAAUAUUGGACAAUGGUCGGAAGACUGAUCCAGCCAUGCCGCGUGCAGGAUGACGGCCUUAUGGGUUGUAAACUGCUUUUGCAGGGGAAGAAUAAGGAGUACGUGUACUUUGAUGACGGUACUCUGCGAAUAAGCAUCGGCUAACUCCGUGCCAGCAGCCGCGGUAAUACGGAGGAUGCGAGCGUUAUCCGGAAUCAUUGGGUUUAAAGGGUCCGUAGGCGGGUAAGUAAGUCAGAGGUGAAAGCACUGAGCUCAACUGAGUAACUGCCUUUGAAACUGCUUAUCUUGAAUGUCUGUGAAGUAGCUGGAAUGUGUAGUGUAGCGGUGAAAUGCUUAGAUAUUACACAGAACACCGAUUGCGAAGGCAUGUUACUAACAGAUGAUUGACGCUGAUGGACGAAAGCGUGGGGAGCGAACAGGAUUAGAUACCCUGGUAGUCCACGCUGUAAACGUU